rnacentral:tRNA from 1 species
UCCCUGGUGGUGCAGUGGUUAGGACUCAGCGCUUUUACUGCUGGGCCCAGGUUUGAUCCCUGGUCAGGGAA